UUGUACAUGGUAGGCUUUCACCCCUCGGUUGCUUAGCCGGUGAAGGCCUACUGUGUACCAGG
rnacentral:pre_miRNA from 1 species